AGAUUUUUGAAGACAUCCAACUUCCAUUUUUUUUUCUUUUUCCUUCUUCAAUUUGUAGAGAACUUCUAAGAGAGAGUUUGGAAGAAGAAGAGAAAUUUUACUAGAAUUUUGAGGUUGAAGAAGAGGAGGAGAACUCAAGCAAAGUGUAUCCAUGGCUGAAUUUUAGUUCAUUCUGCACAUCACUGGUUUUUAAUUCGGUUUGAACUCUUCAAAAGGAAUUAAGAGGGCAGUUGGUUUUCACUCGAAAUCAGGAGGUCUCUGGUUUUUCUUGUAUUUCAGAGUGUAUCAGUGGAGUUAGAAUCUCUAUUUGGUAUGGUUGGAAAGCUUAUUCAAUUUAUUACAACGUUCAUGAAGAAAUUGUAAACUAAAAACGACUACAAAUCAGUUAAAUUGUAGGGACAAGUUAAAGAGGUCGUGUGCGCGCGAUUUUGGAAGUGGUUCUGUUUUAAGGGUUAUAUGUGUUUAUGCACAGGGAAUCAGAUUUAUAUGUCUUCAGGCCGAGAAGAAUUAAACCGAGCUUAUAGACCAAGGAUCUAGCCCAAGACUGUGAGUGACAAAACCAACUUUGAAAUAUUUUCCAUAAUUGUUAUUAUGAUUGAAUGCGAUAAAUGUUUGUUUACGAAGCCAUGAAAGGUAUUUGAAUUUCAUGACUAUUUUCAAGUAUACAUUUGGAGACUAGAUUUUUUAAAGAAAUUUAUGCUAGCUCGUAGAUAUUAAAUGUUUGGAAAGUAUUUAAACCACAAUAUUUUAAGCAAAGCAUGAAUUAGUAUGAAGUUUUGUUUUAAGAACUACAAUUUUCCACGAAAGAGCUGAGUAAAGUUCGAGCUUUGUGUAAAAUUUAUAAGCAGGCAUGUUUUUAUAUUUUAAGAUGAUUUAUGAAAUUUUCAUUAACUACAUGACUGAGAUCUUGAGCCUGAGGCUAGAGACUACCGUGUGCACACUGGUUAGAUUCCGUUGUUGACGUUGAGUAUACUCCGUAACAACGAGACUGUCGUGAGUGCUGGGCGGGCCCCACUACGACAAAGACGAUGGGAGUGCUGGACGGGCCCCACUACAUCGUAGUGCUUGUAAACGUUGUUGUACUAGGUGUACCCUACACAACGUAGAUUCGUCAUGUUAGUUAAAAUGCUUCGAUAUACUUGAUAUGCCUUGCUAGAUUUAAAUGAUGAACAUGCUGAGUAUUUAAGGAAGCUAUUCUUACUACUACACAUUUACAUUUACGACUUGUAUAAACAGAUUUAUAUGUAUAAAGUUUUCACGUGCUCUUAUCUUUAAAUUCAUAGUUUUAAACUGAGUCACUCACUGAGCUUCAUAGCUCACCCUUUCCAAAAUGUUUUACCCAUUUUCCAGGUAGAGAUUGAGUUCCCGGUGCCUGAUAGACUGCCUUAGUCUGCGGAAGCUUCAUUAUCGAUUGCCAGUACGUGUUUUGAGUUGGGCAUAGAGUCUGUUGUGUUGUGAUGUAUAAACACCCUUGGAUGUUAUAGAUACUCCACAGUUUGUAUAAGCUUUAGGAGCUGUCGUUGUGUAAAUUUUGUUGGUUAUAUUUUGAUUAAGGUGUCUUUAGGUUUACUCGUGAAAUCGGUAAAUUUUGAGGUACACUUCAUGUAUGUGUUUGACUAGCUGUGUUUGACUAGCCUAGGAUCCGCUGUGUUUUGUGGCAUGUACAAUAGUUUAUAUACUAGAUUGGCAAGUUCAUCACAUGAAAGUUUUAAGCAGAGUCGACAGAUACAGGUACAGAAAAGCGUUGUUCGUCGGCUUCACGCCAUCUUUGGGUCUAAGGUAGCAGGUAGUCCUGGAGGGGGUGUGACAACAAGUGUGCUUUCCAAGCAACGAGGUCCUAACUGUUUAAUACGCCAAAAUUCAUAAUUAAGUCACCAACGACCAACGGCUCAAAACUCAGUUGAAAUGACGUACCCUAGAAAGAGGUUGCAAUGCUUGAGCCCCUACCGAAGAAAUCCCACGCUGCAGCAGUUACUUGGUCCAAGACGCCCCUUAAGGAAUUUAAUUUAAUUCCAAAUUAAAUUAUUUAGUGUCCAAACAAAAUUUAAGUCUUGCUGAGUAAGCCAAAAUAAUUAAUUAAUUUACCAAAAAUUGGAUGGAAAGAGCCAAAAAAGCUUGGCGGCUCGACUGGAGGAGCAGGGACCGGCUCGGCUUGAAGGUUGGGAUCGGCUCGUCUCGUGGCGUAGACAAGCGCGGCUCGUGGUACAGACAGGUGCGGCUCGUGGCGUGGGAUGGGCGUGCCCGGGCUCAGCUUACGACUCGGAGCGGAUGUGCGCGGGCGUGGAGCGGUUUCGGGUUCGGACGAGCGGCGCGGGUCGAUUUUGGGUUCGGACGUCGACCGAAACGUGGGUUCGGCUUCGGGUGCAGGAGCUGUGCGCGUACGGCUCGAAGUGCGGACGUCGGCGAGGCGGACGCGGCUGGCUGCAGACGCGGCUUCGACUGGCAGACGCGGGCUUCGGCUGCUCUGCGUCGAAUCGAAGCGGCGCGACGCGGCUUCGGCUAGCAGACACGGGCUUCGGUUGCUCUGCAUCAGAUCGAAGCGGCGCGACGCGGCUUCGGCUGCUCUGCCUCGGAUCGAAGCGGCGCGACGCAGCUUCGGCUGGCAGACACGGGCGCAGCGUGCGUAACUGUCGCUUGGCGUGCGACGGCUUGGGUUGGUCUGAUCUUCGACGCGGCUGGGAGGAUGGGCGUCGGCUCGGUGGCCUGCGGCGGUCGAUCGGCUGCAGCGGCUAGGGUGGGAAAAAUUUGGGACUAGGGUUUUCUUGGGGAGGUGAUGAAUUACACGCCUUCCAAUGCCCCCUUUUUAAAGAAACAAUAAUAAAUAAUAAUUAUUACU